CGAGGCCGGUGCCGUUGUCCCCCUCCCCUUCCCCUUACGGUGUCGUCGGGACGCGUGGCGCGUCGGAUUCGACGUCGAUGUCCCUCUCCGUCUUCUUCUUCCUCACCUCGCGGCGGUGGCUGCCGGCGGCGCCGGAGCUGAGCGGUGAGCACGCCGAAGCUGCAGCCGUAUCGAUGCGGCGGCGGCAGCGGUGGGAAGACGGUGGGGAGGUGGCUGAAGGAGGGAAUGAGAAGAAGACGGGAGGAGACGCGUGCGCACAACGCGCAGGUCCACGCCGCCGUGUCGGUGGCAGCGGUGGCCACCACCACCGCGUCCUCCAGCAGUGGCAGGGACGACCGCACUGCGCGCACCAACAUGACCAUUCCGUCCGCGGCGAAGCUGUUCCCCGCCCAGUGCGUCGAGGCCGCCGAGUCCCUCGGUGCCGAGCGCGACCACCUCACCGCCGCCGUCGCCUUCACUGUCAGCGUCCGCCUCCCGGCGACAUCGUCACCAUCACCGCCGCCGCUGCCAAUGGGGCAACGCAUUGAGAGGCGUGGCGACGGUCAAGGCGAGGGCGUUCAGGGACGUGUGGAACGUGGCCGCUGUGAUCCCCGUCGAGAAGAACGCCAUCGCUGCCAUCAACCAUCACCAACACUACAAACACAACGCCCAGAAGCAGCAGCAUCACCACCGCCACCGUGGCAACGGCAGCAACACGAGCAACAGCUUCGGCGACGACGACGACGACAACAACUUCCUCACCAUCUGCAGCCAAGAACUCCUCGCCCGUGGCACCGACUCCUCAAGCGCACCCGCAAAGGUAACCUACCCAAACACCAUUGAUCAUUUGCUAUUCGAUUCAACAAAAUCAUUUCGAGUCAGCCGAAGCGCUUGGUCAACAUGCCACAUUCGAAGGUUUUCACUCUGUUCGAUUGGCUCAUGAUUUUGUUUCAUUUCCAUUUUUGUUUCCCAUUCGAAGGUUUUCAUUUUGUUUUGUGGAAUUUGUUGUUUCGAAUCCUGUCUGCUUGCCCCUAGAUCUCGAGCUGCAAAGUUUGUGCGGCCAGGAGCAGGUACACAUCGGGAGUGACCGAUUUACUCCUUUUGCAUUUUUUUUCAUGGGAUGGCGGAUGGAUGGAGCAAUGGAUCUCGGCGCCCCUGACCCGAACUGAAUCUAGCACACAGCAGCUCAAAAGCGAUCUGCAUCCCGUGGUCCAAGCUCUGAUCUAUGCGUGGGUGAUGAGCCCCAUCGAGCUUCUGUUAUUCGGACUCGAAGCUCUGAAUUAUUUAGGGAGCAAAUGAAGAGCACCGGGUGAUCGAGUUCGAGUGCAGCAUCCAUAGAGAGCAUUGACAUGUGAACCAAAGGGCAUCGCUAGCCUCCUCGCCACCGUCGCCUGCCGUCGCAACCGCUUCGCCUGACCAACGCCGCCCGUCACCGGCAUUGCCUGCAAGGCUGUUGUGAUUUUGGCAGAAGAGGGGGCAUGGAUCAUGUCACUCUUCACUGUAGCUGUUAUUAGGAGCAGAAAACUGAACAAGAUUCAGAGAUGGUUUGUAGAUGUGUGUGGUGUUUAUUCCUCUUUUCUUUUUUUUUUGUUUUAUGUGUCAUGUAAGAAGUGUCGUUUUGUAUCUUCUUAUCUUUUCCGUUGUCUCUGAUUUAACUUGAGGGGUUUGGGCAAUGGGAAUACAGACGGACAAGCAUCAUCUACAUUUGUAAUAUGUGGUGUCUGCAGGGAAUCAUAACUUCGUAAGUGAUUUUGCUCUUCCAGUAAUCAUGGUUUCACUCUAUUAUUGACAAAAACAUGGGGCGAAUUCUUACAGAUUUUGCCUAAAAAUUGAAUUCAGCAUUUUUUUUCUCAAACCUGGUUAUUUUGCUGAGCGGUUUCUUGAUUUCUACAGGCUUGAUAAAGCCUAUAACUGCGGUAACUUAGCUACUCCCUCUGUUAACUAAGUCAAACGCUUUGAUCAUUAAUUUUUUAAAAACCUUGUUUAAUUUAAGUAAGAUGUGAAUUAUAUAUUGUAAAAGUAUUGUUCAUGGUGAAUCU